UCUUUUUCUCCUUGUGCUCCAUCCUGCUGUGGUGCUCCUACCUCACAGCUGUCUGUCCUGCCUGCUGACACCCAGCCACCAUGUGGGAGUUUGUGGCUUUCUUGGGGCUCAUCCUAGCCUGUUUCUUUUGGCUCAGACAAAGGUCUCCUGGUGCCAACUACCCAAAGAGCCUCCCAUCUCUGCCCAUAGUGGGUAGCCUGCCAUUCUUUCCCAGAAGCGGCCACAUGCACAUCAAACUAUUCAAGCUGCAGAAAAAAUAUGGCCCCAUCUAUUCCUUCCGUAUGGGCUCCAGAACUACAGUGGUCAUCGGCCACCACCAGCUGGCCAGGGAGAUGCUUGUCAAGAAGGGGAAGGAAUUCUGCGGACGGCCCCUGUCACUGAUGAGUUUAGACCUCAUGUCAGACAAAGGGAAGGGCAUCGCCUUCGCUGACUUCAGUGCCACGUGGCAGCUGCACCGGAAGCUGGUACUAAGCACCUUUUCCCUGUUCAGGGAUGGCAACCUGAAGCUGGAGAACAUCAUAUGUCGGGAGGUUGGCGCAUGGUGUGACUUUCUGGCCACCCUCAAUGGACAGGACAUAGAUUUGUCCUUGUCAGUCUUCACAGCGAUCAUCAACAUCAUCUGCACGAUUUGCUUCAAUAUCUCCUACAAGGAUGGGGACCCCGAGUUGGUGGCCAUAAGGAGCUUCACUAAAGGUUUCGUGGAGAACGUGAGCGAGAGCAAUCUGAUGGACAUACUCCCCUGGGGGAAGAUUUUCCCCAAUAAAACCAUAAAAAUGAUAAGGAAAUAUCUUAAAAUUCGAGAUGUAAUGCUGAAGAAGAAACUGAAAGAGCACAUGGAGAAAUUCAGAAGUGACUCUGUCACCAGCCUGACAGACCUCCUGAUCCAGGCCAAGAUGAAUGCAGACAAUAACAAUUACGGCCUACAAGAGGAUUCAAACAUGUUUUCAGAUAGACACAUUAUCACCAUCUUGGGGGACGUCUUCGGGGCCGGUGUGGAGACCUCUGCUUCCGUCGUGAGUUGGAUGGUAGCCUUGCUGAUGCACAACCCUCGGGUGAAGAAGAAGAUCCAGGAGGAGAUUGACCAGAACGUGGGCUUCAGUCGUACCCCGACCUUCAGUGACCGGAACCAGCUCCUCAUGCUGGAGGCCACCAUCCGAGAGGUCCUCCGCAUCCGGCCAGUGGCCCCGGUGCUCAUCCCGCACAAGGCUCUGUCCGACUCCAGCCUCGGGGAGUUCGCCAUUGACAAGGGCACAAACGUGGUUGUCAACCUGUGGGCUCUGCAUCAUGAUGAGGAGGAGUGGGACCGACCGGACCAGUUCCUGCCAGGGCACUGGUAAGGUCUCCCUGGAACUUGGUCGCUUGGGGCAGCAGACAACCAGUUGUCACUUGUGAGAAAUGAGCUCAGUGAUCCAGGAGCCUGGGCAUCAAGGGACACGCACAGCCUCUGGAAACACUCUAACAGAACCACCCCUAGAUGGUACAUGCUCCACUGCGGUCACCGGGAGCCCGGCAGGAGUGAAGCAGCCACCUGUCAAGACCCCACCAGCCCAGGGGCGAAGAUGCGGCCAAGGCUGGUCAGGCCAACUCUGGACUGGCAAAGACACUGGGGCCGGGCACAGACCAGUCCGGGAGGGAGGGCGGUGCCCACUGCCGCACCCCAGGGACCCUGCGACUGCUGAGCCUCUGCUUGGGAAGCAGGGGCCUUUCCUGGGAGCUGCCAGGUUGUUCACUCCAGCCACCGGCAGGCAGCCCAAAGAGAAGUCGUGCCAAGGCUGUCCUCCUUCUGGGGCAGAGGUGGCUGGCCGCAGUUUCCCACUGCCUGGGCGCAGGGCCUGUGUGUACCUACCUGACUCAAGUUCUAAGCAGGGCCGUUAAGCAAGGAGGAAAAGGACAAAGGAUGUCCCACUGUUCUGGUAAGGAAUCAAGGUCUCAAACUACCUGCUGCUCCCCCGACCCCGGUCCCUGAGCUUCACCAAACUCCCUCUUACCUUGGGGAUUAGCAACUCUCACACCGGCACCUUCCGUCUUCCUAACUCAAAGUUCUAGAGGGCUGGGCUUUGUCUCGUGUGGUUAGUUUAUAUUUCCUCAGCAUCUAGCACAGUGCUUAGCACAAAGCAGCAACUCAAUGUGCAUUUUGUAUAUUAAAUUCCAAGGCCUA